AACGAACGCUGGCGGCAUGCCUAACACAUGCAAGUCGAACGAGACCUUCGGGUCUAGUGGCGCACGGGUGCGUAACGCGUGGGAAUUUGCCCUUGGGUUCGGUAUAACAGUCUGAAACGACUGCUAAUACCGGAUGAUGACGUAAGUCCAAAGAUUUAUCGCCCAAGGAUGAGCCCGCGUAGGAUUAGCUAGUUGGUGAGGUAAAGGCUCACCAAGGCGACGAUCCUUAGCUGGUCUGAGAGGAUGAUAAGCCACACUGGGACUGAGACACGGCCCAGACUCCUACGGGGGGCAGGAGAGGAGAAUAUUAGACGAUGGGCGAAAGCCUGAUCCAGCAAUGCCGGGUGAGUGAUGAAGGCCUUAGGGUUGUGAAGCUCUUUUACCCGAGGUGAUAAUGACGGUACCGGGAGAAUAAGCACCGGCUAACUCCGUG
rnacentral:rRNA from 1 species